AGAGUUUGAUCAUGGCUCAGGAUGAACGCUGGCGGCGUGCCUAAUACAUGCAAGUCGAGCGAACGGACGAGAAGCUUGCUUCUCUGAUGUUAGCGGCGGACGGGUGAGUAACACGUGGAUAACCUACCUAUAAGACUGGGAUAACUUCGGGAAACCGGAGCUAAUACCGGAUAAUAUUUUGAACCGCAUGGUUCAAAAGUGAAAGGCGGUCUUGCUGUCACUUAUAGAUGGAUCCGCGCUGCGUUAGCUAGUUGGUAAGGUGACGGCUUACCAAGGCAACGAUGCAUAGCCGACCUGAGAGGGUGAUCGGCCACACUGGAACUGAGACACGGUCCAGACUCCUACGGGAGGCAGCAGUAGGGAAUCUUCCGCAAUGGGCGAAAGCCUGACGUAGCAACGCCGCGUGAGUGAUGAAGGUCUUCGGAUCGUAAAACUCUGUUAUUAGGGAAGAACAUAUGUGUAAGUAACUGUGCACAUCUUGACGGUACCUAAUCAGAAAGCCACGGCUAACUACGUGCCAGCAGCCGCGGUAAUACGUAGGUGGCAAGCGUUAUCCGGAAUUAUUGGGCGUAAAGCGCGCGUAGGCGGUUUUUUAAGUCUGAUGUGAAAGCCCACGGCUCAACCGUGGAGGGUCAUUGGAAACUGGAAAACUUGAGUGCAGAAGAGGAAAGUGGAAUUCCAUGUGUAGCGGUGAAAUGCGCAGAGAUAUGGAGGAACACCAGUGGCGAAGGCGACUUUCUGGUCUGUAACUGACGCUGAUGUGCGAAAGCGUGGGGAUCGAACAGGAUUAGAUACCCUGGUAGUCC
rnacentral:rRNA from 1 species